GAAGCAAGUUGAUCCCCUUCGGGGGUGACGCUUGUGGAAUGAGCGGCGGACGGGUGAGUAACACGUGGGCAACCUGCCUGUAAGACUGGGAUAACCCCGGGAAACCGGGGCUAAUACCGGAUAAUACUUUCUUUUGCAUAAAGGAAAGUUGAAAGGCGGCUUCGGCUGUCACUUACAGAUGGGCCCGCGGCGCAUUAGCUAGUUGGUGAGGUAACGGCUCACCAAGGCGACGAUGCGUAGCCGACCUGAGAGGGUGAUCGGCCACACUGGGACUGAGACACGGCCCAGACUCCUACGGGAGGCAGCAGUAGGGAAUCUUCCGCAAUGGACGAAAGUCUGACGGAGCAACGCCGCGUGAGUGAUGAAGGUUUUCGGAUCGUAAAACUCUGUUGUUAGGGAAGAACAAGUUGGGUAGUAACUGACCCAACCUUGACGGUACCUAACCAGAAAGCCACGGCUAACUACGUGCCAGCAGCCGCGGUAAUACGUAGGUGGCAAGCGUUGUCCGGAAUUAUUGGGCGUAAAGCGCUCGCAGGCGGUCCUUUAAGUCUGAUGUGAAAUCUCGCGGCUCAACCGCGAACGGUCAUUGGAAACUGGAGGACUUGAGUACAGAAGAGGAGAGUGGAAUUCCACGUGUAGCGGUGAAAUGCGUAGAGAUGUGGAGGAACACCAGUGGCGAAGGCGACUCUCUGGUCUGUAA
rnacentral:rRNA from 1 species